UAGGGAGGCACCCGUGGGAUACCACCCUGGCUGUACGAACCUUCUAACCCAGGACCGUAACCCGGUUCGGAGACAGUUUCAGGUGGGCAGUUUGACUGGGGCGGUCGCCUCCUAAAAGGUAACGGAGGCGCCCAAAGGUUCCCUCAGACUGGUUGGAAAUCAUUCGCAGCGUGUAAAGGCAAAAGGGAGCUUGACUGCGAGACAUACAAGUCGAGCAGGGACGAA
rnacentral:rRNA from 1 species